rnacentral:rRNA from 1 species
AUGAAAUUAAAUGUAGACAUUGUAUUUGACCAAGAUUUACUUGAAGGAUCCGCGGGGGAAGUUAUUCGUGAUCACAGUUGGGAAUUUAUAGUGCCAGCUAAUGAAAGAAUAGACAUAUGCUAUGAUUUUUUCACAGCAGAAGCUUUGGCAGUUAGGUUUGGGCUAAACCUUGCCAGAACUGUGGGUUGUAGCAAGGUCGUGAUCAACUCAGACAGUCUGGAGGUAGCAGAAACUCUGAGAGAUGGCAAUUCUUCUUCGGUGGCAAGCUCAGUUAUUGAUGAUUGAUAUUUCAUGUCCUCGGAUUUUAAUCAUUUAUCUUAUGAUCAUUGUAAUAGAGAGUGUAAUAAAGUAGCACAUGAACUUGCUAGGCUAGUUAAAUUUUCUCCUCCUUCUGUAUGGAUGGAUUUGGCACCUGCGGAGGUGCUUCCGUUACUUGUAAAUGAUGCCACAAUUUUGCUAGAGGAAUAA